rnacentral:rRNA from 1 species
UAAGUGAAGAGUUUGAUCCUGGCUCAGAGUGAACGCUGGCGGUAGGCCUAACACAUGCAAGUCGAACGGCAGCACAGGAGAGCUUGCUCUCUGGGUGGCGAGUGGCGGACGGGUGAGGAAUACAUCGGAAUU